rnacentral:lncRNA from 1 species
AAAACUAUUCAUUUAUUUUAUUUAUAGGUGUAUGUCUGCAGAUCAAAGUGCAUACCUGGUACCUGAUAAGGCCAGAAGAAGGUGGCAGAGUCCCUGGGACUGGACUAUUGUGAGCCACCACAUGGGUGGUGAGAGUUGAAUUUAGAUCCUCUUGGGAGAUCAUCCAGUGCUCUUAACUUCUGAGCUUACUAUCUAGACACUCUCUCUGUCUUUUGGUUGGGGACUCAGUGUGACCAACCAGCUAACAUUCCUGCCUUGAUGCCAACCCCAUCAUUAUGAUGGGAGACUGCAUCAUCCCAAACUCUGAGUCAGUGUAAACUCUCUCAUCCUUAUAUUGCCUUUGUAAUUUUAUUUGUUGGUUUUUGUUUUCCAGCAACAAGAAAAGAAACUAAUACAUAUUUUGCUAAGUUGCCCAGGUUGGCCCUUCCUUAACUUGUAAUUUGGCAAAGAUUGCACAAAGAAAUGGGAUUUGUAGAAGACUUGAAUAAUGGGGAGAGUGCAUAGGAAGAAGGAGAUCAUUCUAGAAUACUCACACACAUCUAACAGUUCAAAAUAAGCAUGAUAUGAACUAUUAAUGCAGCAUUUAAAGGUGACUAUUUAUUAGGAAAACAACAGGGUAAGUAGGCUGUUGUCAUACCAUGAGUCAUAUACCACUUAAGACCAAAUGAAGUGCCUGUAGAUAUUUUAUAGCCAUUGAAGAGACAUUAAAGGGGGUGGGUAGCUGGAGAGGUGGCUCAACCCUUAAGAACACUAGCUCCUCUUCCAGAGGACUCAGGUUCUGUUUCCAGCACCCACAAGGUGGUUCACAACUCCCUGCAACUGUGGUCUCAUGCCACGCACACUCCAGUGAAGUCUGCUUGACAGGCUGAGAAGCCUGGGAGCACUCAGAGGCAAAGAGUUUCACAGAAACUCACCUCCUGGAGCUUUGGUGUCCUCAUUAACCCAUAUACUCAUACCCUAUCCCCACGUUAGUCUGGUGUAUAUGAACCCACAUGCUCUCUUUUAGUAUUAUUUUAUUAUAAGUGCCUUUUAAGAUUGAAUUCUAAUAUAGUUAAGUCUCCCACCAGUGUUCCAAUGUGCCAGAAGCCGACUAGCUUGGAAUCCAGUAGAAAUGCAGUAAGGAAGUUACCUAUUUCAGUAACUAAUUAAGCAUCACAAAAGAUGGAGCCAGCAGCUCAGGGCUGGUCUUCAGAGUAUUUACUAAGGACAGCAGCUCAGGGCUGGUCUGCAGAGUGUUUACCAUGAAAGAGCCAGGGAAUCCGCUGAGAUAGAAAUCUUCAGUACAGGCUACAUUGCAUAUUAGAAGCAAGUUGGUGAAUUCUUCUGACAAAUGGAGAUUCUCCACAGAUACCUAAAAGUUACUAGAAAUUAUCAGGGCCCAGGAAGUAGGGGGGUUGCGGUAUUGCAGUAUUCAUGAGAAGGUCUGCUAAAGUAGAACCCCUGGUGGUGGGCUUAACAAUAGACUAGCUUUAUACCUGGCUCCCUUCUUAGUGGCAGCAGCCUGGUCCCCGCCUUCUUUUGAUGUAUACUUUCCUUUUGUAUUGUGUCACUUGGUGGAUUGUGUCUUGUCUGCUUUCUUGCUAUUUUUCUGUAUAAAAAGUUUGAGACUCAACUUGACAAAAUACAGUCAGAUUCUACACAACCUCCUGUGUGCAUCUGUCUGUCAUUCCCGCCAACUCCUUGCCCAUCUGCACCCAGAGACCCGUCCAUCCAGACAAAGGGACCCAGAGGGCAUGCGGCAGUCUCAGAGGAUCCUUGGGUACCAUGUAUGCACACAGCACACAGACAUGCACAGGCAAAACACCCAUAC